UGUUAGAAGCGAAAGUUGGCAUAAGCCCGUCACGUGCUCGGAAGCUAGAAGACGCUCCGCUGUGCCAGUCGUGGGCUAAAGAGAGUACACCCAGCAUCACACGGGACUUGCCCCGAGGGGUCGAGGAAACACGAGUUCUCAUGAUUGGCGCGAGGCGGGCACGAGGUCCCUCCAGGGCGACCAGUGGCCUUCGGGGCCCGUACCGGACAAGAGGGCAGUUGGAAGGGGAUGAUCCGAACGUCAGACGGUGGCAUGGACCGUCCGCCCUACUCCCCACAGUGUCUCGUUCUCCGUCCGGAGCCAGACACGGGUUGGGCGGGACCCAAAAGGAAGCCCCAUCAACAGGCCCUCGAUCUCGUGAGCGGCGCUGGCUUGUCGGGAACGGUGAAGAAGCUGCCAUGUUGUUUUUUGGCCACGGGCACCUCUGUUCGCUGCUUCUGAGAACCUUCAGGCAGGGAGGGGCGGUCCCGUUAGAGGUCCGUGUCGCUCUCCACUGCAAACUGUGUCCUGGUUGAGGCACACAUCGGAGCCGCCGGGGAGCUUCAGAAGCAUCUGCGGACACGGGGCACCCAGGGGACCCCAGGCUGCUGUCCCCACAUUAACCUGGACGCCCCGAGGCAGAGGAUGUGAAGAAAGAAGACGGGGGGUUGAGUCCCGGAGGCCCCAACUUUCAACUCCAAGACCUUGGACAGAUAGAUCAAACUCACAAGCCGUGUGUGUCCCCAUUUGAAAACCGCAAAUGAUACUUAGCCUGCUUCCCCGUUGAAUUUGGUAACAGUGUCUGGAAAAGGAAGUAAUGGACCCCAGCGCUCUGCACGUGCCAAGCCAUGGGUUAUUUUUGUCGUCUGCACGUGGCCUUCCCGCCUCUUCCCUGCCCUCGCCCACCUGUCCACCAGGCGUCCCGCCGGCCUGGAGGUGGGAGUUUGUCUCAGGUCGCCUGGGGUCCCCUCGCGCCCCGAUCAGAGCUGUCGGUGAAGCGCCUCGACAGACACGCCUCUGGCGAUCUCUGCACAGUCACUGUGCGGGCUCUUGCCCUGAAAGAAUGUGGAACAGCCGCGGGGUGGCCCCUGAGUUGGCGCAGCUGUGGCCCGAGACCCUGUGGGCGAGAGGUCCCCUGCCCGCCGUCGUGGCCGAGCCAGCUGCCACUCGCCCUGCCGGGUCCACAGAGCGGGCGCUUUCCCAGAGGCUUCCCUCGACUCGGCGACGGAGGACAGCUGGGUGCCCCUCCCCUAGCAGGACACGGGACGCACUCUGCACUUCACGGGGAAGCUGUGACCACACAGGACCCGGGUCAGGGAGGUCGCCCCGAAGUUUCCAGCCAGACAGCAUCCCGGCCCAGAAGUAACCCAAACUUCAAUAAAACAGUGGAAUUUGGUUGAA